UUAAAUUGAAGAGUUUGAUCAUGGCUCAGAUUGAACGCUGGCGGCAGGCCUAACACAUGCAAGUCGAACGGUAACAGGAAGCAGCUUGCUGCUUUGCUGACGAGUGGCGGACGGGUGAGUAAUGUCUGGGAAACUGCCUGAUGGAGGGGGAUAACUACUGGAAACGGUGGCUAAUACCGCAUAACGUCGCAAGACCAAAGAGGGGACCUUCGGGCCUCUUGCCAUCAGAUGUGCCCAGAUGGGAUUAGCUUGUUGGUGAGGUAACGGCUCACCAAGGCGACGAUCCCUAGCUGGUCUGAGAGGAUGACCAGCCACACUGGAACUGAGACACGGUCCAGACUCCUACGGGAGGCAGCAGUGGGGAAUAUUGCACAAUGGGCGCAAGCCUGAUGCAGCCAUGCCGCGUGUAUGAAGAAGGCCUUCGGGUUGUAAAGUACUUUCAGCGGGGAGGAAGGUGUUGUGGUUAAUAACCACAGCAAUUGACGUUACCCGCAGAAGAAGCACCGGCUAACUCCGUGCCAGCAGCCGCGGUAAUACGGAGGGUGCAAGCGUUAAUCGGAAUUAC
rnacentral:rRNA from 1 species